CAAAAUGUAGCUUAACAAAAGCCUCUCGCUUACACCUAGAAGAUAUCUGUUUGAUUCAGAUCAUUUUGA
rnacentral:tRNA from 1 species